rnacentral:rRNA from 1 species
GACGAACGCUGGCGGCGUGCCUAACACAUGCAAGUUGAGCGACGAACCAGGGCUUGCCCUGGGGCAAAGCAGCGAACGGGUGAGUAACACGUGGGUAACCUACCCCGAUAACCGGGACAACCCGAGGAAACUCGGGUUAAUACCGGAUGUGCUCACUGGACUUCGGUUCAGUGCGUAAAGGAAGCUUCGGCCUCCGUAUCGGGAGGGGCCCGCGGCCCAUUAGUUUGUUGGUGAGGUAACGGCUCACCAAGACCGCGAUGGGUAGCUGGUCUGAGAGGACGAUCAGCCACACUGGGACUGAGACACGGCCCAGACUCCUACGGGAGGCAGCAGUGGGGAAUCUUGCGCAAUGCGCGAAAGCGUGACGCAGCAACGCCGCGUGGGGGAAGAAGGCCUUCGGGUUGUAAACCCCUUUCAGGAGGGACGAAGGUUCGGCGGUGAAUAGCCGUCCGGACUGACGGUACCUCCACAAGAAGCCCCGGCUAACUACGUG